AGUGAUCUUUCUAGCAAAACACAGCUGUUACAGGAUGUACAAGAUGAAAACAAAUUGUUUAAGUCCCAAAUUGAGCAGCUUAAACAACAAAACUACCAACAGGCAUCUUCUUUUCCCCCUCAUGAAGAAUUAUUAAAAGUAAUUUCAGAAAGAGAGAAAGAAAUAAGUGGUCUCUGGAAUGAGUUAGAUUCUUUGAAGGAUGCAGUUGAACACCAGAGGAAGAAAAACAAUGUAAGUAGAUCUUUAUCAGAAUGAAGCUUUUCUUUUUAUUACUUUAACACUGAAAUAUGGUUCAGGAAUUUUUUUUAAAUCUACUUUUACUUUAGAUUUCUUAAUCUUUGUAAGAAAGUACUAUUUUCUGUGUGUAGUUUUUUCGGGGGGCGGGGCAUUAUUGGAGAACAGUUUUUUUUAAAUAAGUGAAAAGAUGAAUUCUUAUUCUUAUAAAUAUUUAAAUGUUGAAGCUAUAAUUAUUAUAC
rnacentral:lncRNA from 1 species